ACAGUCUUCUACAGCAUCAGAAAGACCCUUAUGAUUUUAACUUUGAUCCUGAGAUAUCGAAAGUAUUGCUGACAACUGUUGUAUAUUUGCCUAGUCUCAAAAUCAAUAAAAUAAAAACAAUUACACACAAUAAGAAAACAGAGACAGACAGAAGGACAUACACAAUAAAAAUAAAGAAGUAAGAGUAGGGAUGAACAAAAGAAGAAGAAUAACACACUGUAUGAAUAAAGAAAGAGAGAGAAUAAGAGGAAAUUCACAAUCAAUACAGAAAGAAGCAUACAAUAUAGAA